rnacentral:rRNA from 1 species
AUGAAGUUGGAAUCGCUAGUAAUCGCGGAUCAGCAUGCCGCGGUGAAUACGUUCCCGGGCCUUGUACACACCGCCCGUCACACCAUGAGAGUCGGGAACACCCGAAGUCCGUAGUCUAACUUUCACGAGAGGACGCGGCCGAAGGUGGGUUCGAUAAUUGGGGUGAAGUCGUAACAAGGUAAC